UUAUUUGAGAAUUUGAUCCUAGUUCAGGACGAAUGCUAGCGGCGUGCUUAAGGUAUGCAAGUCGAACGGAAGUAGUUCCGCAAGGAAUUACUUCAGUGGCGAACGGCUGAGUAAUACGUAGGUACCUACCCCAAUCUCGGGAAUAACCCACCGAAAGGUGAGCUAAUACCCGAUGUGGAGGAAACUCUAAAGAUUUUUCGGAUUGGGAUGGGCCUGCGGCCUAUCAGCUAGUUGGUGAGGUAAAGGCUCACCAAGGCUAUGACGGGUAUCGGGACUGAGAGGUUGUACCGGCAGAGGGGCACUGAGACACGGGCCUCACUCCUACGGGAGGCAGCAAUCGGGAAUCUUGCGCAAUGGGCGAAAGCCUGACGCAGCGACGCCGCGUGAAGGAUGAAGGCCUUCGGGUUGUAAACUUCUGAAAAUAGCACCGGCUAACUACGUGCCAGCAGCAGCGGUCAUACGUAGGGUG
rnacentral:ncRNA from 1 species